GUCUACGGCCAUGCCACCCUGAACAAGCCCAAUCCCGUCUGAUCUCAGAAGCUAAGCAGGGUUGUGCCUGGUUAGUACUUGGAUGGGAGACCACCUAGGAACACCAGGUGCUGUAGGCU
rnacentral:rRNA from 1 species